ensembl:lncRNA
CGCGGCGCCGCUCGCCGCCGCCUCCCGCUCCGCCGCCUGGGCCGGGCGGCGCGGCCGCUGCGCUGCGGGAGCUGCCCCGGAGCGGCGCGGGGCUCGUCGGCCGGAAGGUGAGCGAGGAGGCAGCGCGACGGGAGCGGGGAGGGCUGCUGCCGGUGUGUGCCGAUAUCUGCGGAUCAGGACCAAUUGAUUGGCAAUGCUGCACCCUUUUCUUCAUCCUAAAGUGCUCCUUGGAUGCUAACUGGCAGUUUUGGCUUCAGAAGGAUUACAAGACUGGGUCAGUAUUGUAUAUGGGUGAUUGAGUGUU